rnacentral:rRNA from 1 species
GACGGAGGGGGCUAGCGUUGUUCGGAAUUACUGGGCGUAAAGCGUGCGUAGGCCGUUGAUUAAGUUGGGUGUGAAAGCCCGGAGCUCAACUCCGGAAAUGCGCCCAAGACUGGUUGACUGGAGUCCGGGAGAGGUGGGUGGAACUCCCAGUGUAGAGGUGAAAUUCGUAGAUAUUGGGAAGAACACCGGUGGCGAAGGCGGCCCACUGGACCGGUACUGACGCUGAGGCACGAAAGCGUGGGGAGCAAACAGG